GACGAACGCUGGCGGCGUGCCUAAUACAUGCAAGUUGAGCGCUGAAGGUUGGUACUUGUACCAACUGGAUGAGCAGCGAACGGGUGAGUAACGCGUGGGGAAUCUGCCUUUGAGCGGGGGACAACAUUUGGAAACGAAUGCUAAUACCGCAUAAAAACUUUAAACACAAGUUUUAAGUUUGAAAGAUGCAAUUGCAUCACUCAAAGAUGAUCCCGCGUUGUAUUAGCUAGUUUGUGAGGUAAAGGCUCACCAAGGCGAUGAUACAUAGCCGACCUGAGAGGGUGAUCGGCCACAUUGGGACUGAGACACGGCCCAAACUCCUACGGGAGGCAGCAGUAGGGAAUCUUCGGCAAUGGACGAAAGUCUGACCGAGCAACGCCGCGUGAGUGAAGAAGGUUGUCGGAUCGUAAAACUCUGUUGGUAGAGAAGAACGUUGGUGAGAGUGGAAAGCUCAUCAAGUGACGGUAACUACCCAGAAAGGGACGGCUAACUACGUG
rnacentral:rRNA from 1 species